rnacentral:lncRNA from 1 species
CACCACGCUCAGCCCCUCCAAGGCCACCUUCACCUUGCCGUACACAUCGUCCGGAGCCGCCACAGCGCUGAUCACGUGGCACUUGCCCUGCGUAAGGUAGUGGUCCUUCACGGGCAGCGACUGAUCCAGGAAGGUGCGGAAGCGCUUGCGAAUGGUGUCGGCGUUGUCGUCGCUGCGGCCGCUGGUCUCCCCGCGCUUCAGCAGGCGCUUCUCCAUCUCCUCCUCCGGGCAGUCGAAGAACAGCACCGUCUUGCACGGCAUAAUGCUGCUCUCAAACUGCUCCGCCUGGUCCAGCGCGCGCGGAAAGCCGUCGAUGAGGAAGAACUUGCCACCGCUGGCUAUCAUGUCCCGCUUCAGCAGGUUGAGCGUGACAGCCACCGGCACGAGCUUGCCCUCCUUCAUCAGCGCCUCGCACUUCUGGCCGACCUCGCUGCCGCUCUUCACCUCAGCGCGCAGCAGGUCGCCGGCGCUGAGGUGCACGCAAUCGUAGUCGGCCUUAAUCUUGUCGCACUGCGUGCCCUUGCCGCUGCCGGGGCCACCGAGCACGAACACAAUCUGGGCAUCGGCGGGCAGGCUGCCGGGCACGGACGGCAGCGCAAUCUCCUGUGAAGGGAGCAUGGAUUAAAAAUGUUGUAAGAUAUGUGAAAAUCGGUCGUUUCACAUGCGAGUGCUGAACCCAUCAGCCGUCAACGUGAAUCCAUCAAGACAUGCAAACCGGAUCCCGGAAUGUGCAUGCAUAUGCGCGCCCAAGCACAAGCACAAGAUGCAAGCCGUUUACGGCAAACACCACGCCUAGGGACCAGAGUGCCACAAAGCCCGCCCAAGCAAAGCCCCACCCACCUCCGACUUCUUGGGUGCGCCCAUAGCGUCCAGCGCCGCCUUCACCUUGCCGUACACCUCCUUUGGGGGAGGGACAGCGCUGAUCACGUGGCACUUGCCCUGCGCAAGGUAGUGGUCCUUCACAGGCAGCGACUGAUCCAGGAAGGUGCGGAAGCGCUUGCGAAUGGUGUCGGCGUUGUCGUCGCUGCGGCCGCUGGUCUCCCCGCGCUUCAGCAGGCGCUUCUCCAUCUCCUCCUCCGGGCAGUCGAAGAACAGCACCGUCUUGCACGGCAUGAUGCUGCUCUCAAACUGCUCCGCCUGGUCCAGCGCGCGUGGAAAGCCGUCGAUGAGGAAGAACUUGCCGCCGCUGGCUAUCAUGUCCCGCUUCAGCAGGUUGAGCGUGACAGCCACCGGCACGAGCUUGCCCUCCUUCAUCAGCGCCUCGCACUUCUGGCCGACCUCGCUGCCGCUCUUCACCUCAGCGCGCAGCAGGUCGCCGGCGCUGAGGUGCACGCACUCAUACUCCUCCUUGAUCUGAUCGCAUUGCGUGCCCUUGCCGCUGCCGGGGCCGCCGAGCACGAACACGAUCUGGGCAUCGGCGGGCAGGCUGCCAGGCACAGGCGGCAGCGCAAUCUCCUGCGGGCACGUGCAGCCGAGGACAUUCAGGUUAGGACCGAAUGGCACCAGCCGCAAUCAGAUGCUACGAAACAAAAGCUAUUACUUCCAUGCGGAGAUUAAUUGGCACAGCUGCUAUCCGUUUCCCGCCCCAGCAGCCCCGCAUUAUAGUCAAAAACGCCGUACAACGCAUCCCGGCUUUCCCUUACCUCUGAAACCGCAGCAGCCGCCUUCUUCGGCGCGUGCAAGCCCUCCAACACCACCUUCACCUUGCCGUACACAUCGUCCGGAGCCGCCACAGCGCUGAUCACGUGGCACUUGCCCUGCGCAAGGUAGUGGUCCUUCACAGGCAGCGACUGCUCCAGGAAGGUGUGGAAGCGCUUGCGAAUGGUGUCGGCGUUGUCGUCGCUGCGGCCGCUGGUCUCCCCGCGCUUCAGCAGGCGCUUCUCCAUCUCCUCCUCCGGGCAGUCAAAGAACAGCACCGUCUUGCACGGCAUAAUGCUGCUCUCAAACUGCUCCGCCUGGUCCAGCGCGCGCGGAAAGCCGUCGAUGAGGAAGAACUUGCCACCGCUGGCUAUCAUGUCCCGCUUCAGCAGGUUGAGCGUGACAGCCACCGGCACGAGCUUGCCCUCCUUCAUCAGCGCCUCGCACUUCUGGCCGACCUCGCUGCCGCUCUUCACCUCAGCGCGCAGCAGGUCGCCGGCGCUGAGGUGCACGCACUCGUAGUCGGCCUUAAUCUUGUCGCAUUGCGUGCCCUUGCCGCUGCCGGGGCCGCCGAGCACGAACACGAUCUGGGCAUCGGCAGGCAGGCUGCCAGGCACAGGCGGCAGCGCGAUGUCCUGUUGCAUGAACGGAGAGCACAGAAGGAGGCAAGACGUUUCAGUUUUACAGUGACCAAACAUCCACUUGGCGCUACGGCCCGAGUGCUUCCCAAAGCACCCAUAGCAUCCUGCUGUCGCAUACAGCGCUGUGCGCAUCCCGAAAUUAAAGCCCCAACAAUUGGACAUAAGACAAGCCCAUGUCCAUUCACGACCCAAAUCUACGUGCUCAGGUCACGGCGCCGCAAAGUCCACCCAAGCAAAGCCCCACCCACCUCGGACUUCUUGGGUGCGCCCAUAGCGUCCAGCGCCGCCUUCACCUUGCCGUACACUUCCUUUGGGGGAGGGACAGCGCUGAUCACGUGGCACUUGCCCUGCGCAAGGUAGUGGUCCUUCACAGGCAGCGACUGAUCCAGGAAGGUGCGGAAGCGCUUGCGAAUGGUGUCGGCGUUGUCGUCGCUGCGGCCGCUGGUCUCCCCGCGCUUCAGCAGGCGCUUCUCCAUCUCCUCCUCCGGGCAGUCAAAGAACAGCACCGUCUUGCACGGCAUGAUGCUGCUCUCAAACUGCUCCGCCUGGUCCAGCGCGCGUGGAAAGCCGUCGAUGAGGAAGAACUUGCCGCCGCUGGCUAUCAUGUCCCGCUUCAGCAGGUUGAGCGUGACAGCCACCGGCACGAGCUUGCCCUCCUUCAUCAGCGCCUCGCACUUCUGGCCAACCUCGCUGCCGCUCUUCACCUCAGCGCGCAGCAGGUCGCCGGCGCUGAGGUGCACGCACUCAUACUCCUCCUUGAUCUGAUCGCAUUGCGUGCCCUUGCCGCUGCCGGGGCCGCCGAGCACGAACACGAUCUGGGCGUCGGCAGGCAGGCUGCCGGGCACGGGCGGCAGCGCAAACUCCUGCAUAGGGACGAAAAUGCAAUGGAAAUCAGCAAGCCGAGAUUAAUAAUCAGUGGAAACUUACGCAUCAGUACACUUGCACUUCAGUACGCAUCCUACUACCGGGAGGAUACGGUAAGGCAGGCAGGCAGAGGCCAUCGAUUUCACGCUUGCCCCAGCUUUCCGUACGAUGUACCGUAUGCUAGGUUGCUUGACCGGAACCCGUGCAAGACGCACACGGAUAUACCACCGGUGAACAGCCAUGACCGCUCACCUCCAAAGCAGCCGCAGCAGGAGUAGCCGAAACUGUCGCAGUCACGCCCGCCUUCUUCGGCGCGUGCAAGCCCUCCAGCACCACCUUCACCUUGCCGUACACAUCGUCCGGAGCCGCCACAGCGCUGAUCACGUGGCACUUGCCCUGCGUAAGGUAGUGGUCCUUCACAGGCAGCGACUGAUCCAGGAAGGUGCGGAAGCGCUUGCGAAUGGUGUCGGCGUUGUCGUCGCUGCGGCCGCUGGUCUCCCCGCGCUUCAGCAGGCGCUUCUCCAUCUCCUCCUCCGGGCAGUCGAAGAACAGCACCGUCUUGCACGGCAUGAUGCUGCUCUCAAACUGCGCCGCCUGGUCCAGCGCGCGCGGAAAGCCGUCGAUGAGGAAGAACUUGCCGCCGCUGGCUAUCAUGUCCCGCUUCAGCAGGUUAAGCGUGACAGCCACCGGCACGAGCUUGCCCUCCUUCAUCAGCGCCUCGCACUUCUGGCCGACCUCGCUGCCGCUCUUCACCUCAGCGCGCAGCAGGUCGCCGGCGCUGAGGUGCACGCACUCGUAGUCGGCCUUAAUCUUGUCGCAUUGCGUCCCCUUGCCGCUGCCGGGGCCGCCGAGCACGAACACGAUCUGGGCGUCGGCAGGCAGGUUGCCGGGCACAGGUGGCAGCGCGAUGUCCUGCAUAAAAGCAACCAAGGGAACAAACGUGCAAUCAUAAGGUGUUGGCUGUGGCGCCGACCAUGACCCAGUGCCCUUGUACACAAAGCAAUGGGGCGUGCCGUACGCGCCGCACACACAGAACAGCGGUUUGGUGGCUGGAAACAUAAGAUGCGGCACGGUAUCCCUAUCUGCAGGUCGGCUUCUCAAGUGUUCAACUUAGGCAAGACGCACCUCCGAAGCAGCCGGGGCCGCUGCAAGUGCCGUCGCCGCUGCGCUCGCCUUCUUCGGCGCGUGCAAGCCCUCCAGCACCACCUUCACCUUGCCGUACACAUCGUCCGGAGCCGCCACAGCGCUGAUCACGUGGCACUUGCCCUGCGUAAGGUAGUGGUCCUUCACGGGCAGCGACUGAUCCAGGAAGGUGUGGAAGCGCUUGCGAAUGGUGUCGGCGUUGUCGUCGCUGCGGCCGCUGGUCUCCCCGCGCUUCAGCAGGCGCUUCUCCAUCUCCUCCUCCGGGCAGUCAAAGAACAGCACCGUCUUGCACGGCAUGAUGCUGCUCUCAAACUGCUCCGCCUGGUCCAGCGCGCGUGGAAAGCCGUCGAUGAGGAAGAACUUGCCGCCGCUGGCUAUCAUGUCCCGCUUCAGCAGGUUGAGCGUGACAGCCACCGGCACGAGCUUGCCCUCCUUCAUCAGCGCCUCGCACUUCUGGCCAACCUCGCUGCCGCUCUUCACCUCAGCGCGCAGCAG